UCAUUUUAUUAUCUGUGGUGUCUGUGGUUAAUUCCCUGAUUGAAAGUGGAAUAGAUAGACUGUGCUUGUACAAGAAAAUAAAGGUCAAAAAAAGAAAGUGCUAAAUACCUGAUCAUUGAUAGACGGCUUUAAAAAUUUGGAGGCGUUGAAUCUUACUUUAAUUAGUUUAUUUGGUGACCUUUACAAAAUGGCUUGCGUGGAGAAUAUACCACCCAAGAACCCUGAUUCUGAAAUGGAAGAAGGAGAGAUAGUGGAUGAAUUUGACGAUAUAUCUUCGGAUGAAGAAUUGCUAUUGCGUCAAAGGUUGUAUAUUCUGGAAACAUACAACAAUGUCCUUGAGAGAAAGAAAGCAAAGGAUUUCUCCAAUCCACCAUGUAAAAAGCAAAAGUGUGAUUCAUUGUCACAGGACCUCUCUGAAAUAUCUGCUGCAUCAGAUUUUGAAGAUGGUCACAUGUACCAAAAUACAAAUGAGAAACAUAUUAAAAUACAUAAACAUAAAAGAAGAAAUGAAAUUUUGCCAAUUAAAAUCAAUAGUAAAAGUAAAGAAAAGAAAAAAAUACAUCGAAAAAAUAAAGUGCCACUUAAAGUUAUUAGUGAAUCAAGUGAGGAAUCUGAUGAUGAAUACAGAAAUAAAAGAAGGAAAUUGGCUAAUGCGGUAGCAGUUCAUAAACCAAAAAAUGAUACAUCUUCUUUAAGUGCUAGACUGAAAAAAAUGCUUUAUGGUCCCAAAAUUAUUGGCCCAUUCAAUGAAAAUAAUAAGGAACAAAAACAAUCAGAAGUAGAAAAAGAUAAUUUGCCUAUUGUGUUCAAUUCCCUUAAUGGAUCUCCUAUUUCUGAUGAUAAUUCUAAUCUCCAAAAUAAUCCUAAUAAUGCUUUGCAAGAAGAUUUAAUUAAAAUGUCAAGCGAAAAUGAAUUAAUUGAUUUUUAUGAAGAUAGCAAUAUUGAUAUAAAUGGUGAAAAAAAUGAAAAAAGUCAUGAUGUAGUUGACUCUGGUAAUAAAGAUAGAGAAUGUGUUAAGGAAAUUAAUCAAGACUCUGAUGAAGAUUUGGAAUUGCUCAGGAAACAUGCAUUAGAAACUAAGUCUUCCAAAGUAAAAAAUCCAGUCAACAUAGUUCCCAACAAACAUGAAAUAAAAACUAAUAAUUUUACUUUGACAGAAGAUGAUGAAAGUUACACUGCAGAACUUAGAUUAAUUUGUCUUAAAUCAGCUUAUCUUAAAAAAGCUUUUGAAAUUAAAAGAAGACAAAAAUUGAAGAAGAAGCUGUCCCAGUCUUCUAUAUUGUCAGAUGACUUCAUACUUGAGCAGGAUGCAUUAUCAAAUAAAAUUGAUUCACAAAAUAAUACUGACAUAGAAUCUGUAGAUAUGGAGAUAGGUUCAGAUGGUGAUGAGAAAACAAAGGAAUUGGGUAAUGGUAUAAUUGAAGAUGUUACAGUAAAUUUAGUGAAUGACGUCCAAAUAUCUAAAGAGGAGGAGUUUGAAGAAGACGAAGACUUACUCCGAGCAAAAUUACUGACAUCAUUGAGUAAAAAUUUGCCAACUUUAAUGAAUACUAGUAUUUUAGAAGAAGUAGACGAAAUUUCUACUGAUGUAGGAGAAGACAUUAAAAAUAUAAACCCCAAUGAAAAAACUACACAUAAUGUUAAGAUUCCUGAACCAAAAAAGUUGAUAAUACAGUUGAGAGAGUCAGAUUCAGAAGGUGAACACGAAGCAACCAAGAAUUUAACGAAAAUGCAUAUGAAGCAGCGGAAAGCCGAUUUCGAACAACAGCUAGAUAUUUUUCUGAAAGAUACACGGAAAAAAGUAGAAAAUCAAGAAAUUCCUGAAAUCUCAUCAUUAAAUCCAUCUGAAAAGUUUGUACCUAAGUCAGUGAAGCACUUGCCUAAGUCUGAACAAAUAGAAUAUAAGAAUUUAGUGAAAAAAAUGGCUGAAUUAGAGAAGAUGAAGCAGGCGAGGCAGUCAGCCCUAAAUUCAGUCAAAACCAUACAAGUAAAGGAAACACUGAAACCUAGAAAUGUAACAGUGGAUACCAAAACAUUAUCAAAUGGUAAUGCAGAUGAACAAAUUGCAGUUUCCAGGAAAAAAAUAGCAGAAGAAUCCGCACAUAUGAUAAGGCUCAGAGAAGAGGCAACAAAAUUAUCGCAAAAAUACAAAAUAGUUGCUACGGAGCUUAAAAACAUAGCAACUGCUAUAGCUUUAAAUAAAAAGCAACAAAAGACUGCACAGAUACGGUUAUCAAAAAUUAGAUUGCAACAUCAAAUGCUUUUAAAAAGUUCCAAUUAUUCACACUCCCAAAGUAACGGCUUUUUACCCUCCAUUAAUCGUAACGGCAACAAAAGUAUAUCUACAAUUAGGUUACAAAAAGAGAAUAAUCCUAGAAAGGAUGAAUAUAAAAAUCCACAAAUUCUAAAAUCAAUGAAAGUUAGUGUGGUCAAUGAUUUAAAUGAAGCCACAGAAACUCCUAACCCAAGUCUGUCAGUAAAGAUAGAUAUAAAAAGUAACAACAAGAUUGUCACAGUACCAAAGAUAGACCAAGCAAAGGAGGAAAAUACAGAAAAAGACUUAAUAAAAAAAGAAACUGAUAGAAGAGAAGCUAUUUUGACUGCUGAUGCUGAAAGAGCAGAUCUUGGUCAGCCAGAUUUGGAUAAAGAAGUUGGCACGAGUCUUAACAGCCAUGAAUUGACAAACCGAAGUAACAUACUAAAAACCAAUGAAGUUGAUGAUUAUACAUCUCCCCUUCAAGCCUUAGAUGCAGCCAACUGGGAAGCGGAUCCCAACGCAUUCCUCUGCCCGUACGAGGUCGGAGGGCACUGCCAGGAUCCUGACUGCAAAUACCUCCAUCCAAAAAUUCCUUCUCUGCAAUGAUACACACAUACAUACUUACCCAAUCAUACACAUACACAACACAUACAAAAAAACAGACUAUAACUCCUAAAUUUUACAAUCCCCCCACUUUCCCCUUAUGAACUGCGGAUGGAAUCACAGCAUUAUGUAAUUUGGCGCUGGUCUUUGAGGAGCACCGCAGGAAGGCAUCAGCCAGCAGUGGUAAGUUGCGACUAAGUUAUUUGUGAGUUAAUAGUGUUUUAUAAUCGUGACUUCGCACCUUUACAACGAGUCAGCAGCGUUCAGGACAGUGGUACGAAAGUAUACUUUAAGACUAUAUCUAUAAAGUUUAUUUAACAUAUUUGUAUAAUGUGUAAAAAGUGAACA
rnacentral:misc_RNA from 1 species